GGAGGUGUCAGCCGACCUGGUGGCGGCCCCCGCCUUCAAAGCGGGCGGGACGGGCGACCCCCGUCCGGCGGGUUCGAUUCCCGUCCACCUCCGCCA
rnacentral:tRNA from 1 species